UGCCCUGCAGAGCUCAGAAUAGACAUUUGGUGCCACGAGUCUCUUCCUGUCCUAUAAGAAGUAGAGGAGAGAAGAAAAGGAAGUCAGAGUGUAUGGAGCUAGUGGCACGGAUGAACUGUUUCUUGUCGUGUCUGGACUUACAGGAAACGGAGGGAAUCCAGAUUGCAUGCUGUUCAAUAGUGACUUUCUGUUGUACAGGAGGAGAGGAGGGCGGUAGAAGGUAACCAGAUUCAGUG
rnacentral:lncRNA from 1 species